GAGUUUGAUCAUGGCUCAGAUUGAACGCUGGCGGCAGGCUUAACACAUGCAAGUCGAACGGUAGCAGGAAGAAAGCUUGCUUUCUUUGCUGACGAGUGGCGGACGGGUGAGUAAUGCUUGGGAAUCUGGCUUAUGGAGGGGGAUAACUGUGGGAAACUGCAGCUAAUACCGCGUAGUAUCGAGAGAUGAAAGGGUGGGACCUUCGGGCCACCUGCCAUAAGAUGAGCCCAAGUGGGAUUAGGUAGUUGGUGGGGUAAAGGCCUACCAAGCCGACGAUCUCUAGCUGGUCUGAGAGGAUGACCAGCCACACUGGGACUGAGACACGGCCCAGACUCCUACGGGAGGCAGCAGUGGGGAAUAUUGCGCAAUGGGGGGAACCCUGACGCAGCCAUGCCGCGUGAAUGAAGAAGGCCUUCGGGUUGUAAAGUUCUUUCGGUAAUGAGGAAGGGGUAUUAUUGAAUAGAUAAUAUCAUGACGU
rnacentral:rRNA from 1 species